GACGAACGCUGGCGGCGUGCCUAAUACAUGCAAGUCGAACGCAGUGGGGACGGGUGGUUAACACGUGGGUAACCUCCCAUCAGAGGGGAUAAAACUUGGAAACAGGUGCUCAACCGCUACUGGUGGAUGGACCGGCGGUGCAUUAGCUGGUGGGUGGGGUAACGGCUACCCAGGGCCAAGAUGCAUAGCCGACCUGAGAGGGUGAUCGGCCACACGGGGACUGAGACACGGCCCAGACUCCUACGGGAGGCAGCAGUAGGGAAUCUUCGGCAAUGGACGAAAGUCUGACCGAGCAACGCCGCGUGAGUGAAGAAGGUUUUCGGAUCGUAAAACUCUGUUGUUAGAGAAGCGGUAUCUAACCAGAAAGCCACGGCUAACUACGUGCCAGCAGCCGCGGUAAUAC
rnacentral:rRNA from 1 species